CUGGUUUGAUAUUGACAAAAUGAACAGAUACAGAUUGCUUUUCAUGGACUUUUUUUUUUUUUUUUUUUUUAUAGAUGGAAAAAAAGAAAAAAGAUGACUACAGUUGACCUAACUUCAGUACUAGUGACAUAUCAUUUUGAUUUGAAUCAUUGAACAAAGUCCAAUUUGUGGGACCCAUGAAUUGCUGUUGGCUACUACUGUUGAGAAUUCUUACUCAUCAAUCAAUAAACUCGGGGUUAGUUUCUAUUAUAAUCAUACCAAAGGGUGUACGUACCCCCUUACCUUCCUUCCUUCCGUGGGAGGAGUCCGUCGACGUAGAAUCUGGAUAGGGUUGGUUGAUGUACUCAUCCUUACCUUUUUUAUAACCAAAGGGAAGAGGGUGUACCCCUUCCUUCCUUCCUUCCUUCCUUCCUUCCUUCGUGGUGAGGAUUCCUAUUACAAGUUCCACGUCUAUGUCGAGCACUAGUGUCUUUGGCAAGCACAAAAAACCAGAAGAGGUUUGUCUUCCGCCUGCCUUGUCUCUCUCCAUCUUUCUUCGGCUAUUACAAUUUCUCUUGCGCUUGACCUAAGGUUGCUUGUUCUCUAUGCAUCUGAUGAUGUUGAACUACGGCCCUGCAUUCAUGGCUACGGUACAGGACAAGAAAA
rnacentral:lncRNA from 1 species